ACAGAACAUCAUGCCCGCCUCUCUACCCACCUACAUCACAUUAUUCUCAAAGCUCCAUUUCUGGGUCAGCUUUCCCACACUAGAAAGAAGAGAGCUUUUGAUGCUUCCUUCUCCAUGAUGCUUAAGAGAUCCGCUCCAGAAGAUGAGCCAGCACUUAUUUCCAAAGCUACAGAGGUUGUCUCUAAGGGAUGUUUUAAAGAAUGCCAUUUAAAGUGACCACACAGUAGACUGAAGAAAAAGAAGUAACAAAUUGUAUACAGACAUCAUGGAAAAGAGAGCCAUCAUGGAAAAAAGUGUGCUGACAAAGAAGAUUACUCCUUCAAACAAGGUUGCGCCUAUUCUCUGAUGGGCAGCCUUUAAAUUAAAAGGUGCGGGUAGCCAAUAAGUACCUUCAAAGAAGAGGGUGGGAGGACCACGAUGACAAAAAUCGUCCAGAUUCUAUUACAUGUUAUUUGUCACUCAAAAGAAAGGCUUUAACCGACAAAAGCAGGCUUUUCACCAGACGGUGGCUUUGCUGGAGAGAGACAGAGACAGAGUCAAGUGGGGGAGGGGCAGAGAGAGAGGAAGACACAGAUUCUGAAGCAGGCUCCAGGCUCUGAGCUGUCAGCACAGAGCCCAAGGCAGGGCUCGAACUCACAAACCACGGGAUCAUGACCUGAGCUGAAGUCAGACACUCAACCGACUGAGCCACCCAGGCGCCCCUAGCAUGAUCUCAUUCUUGUGAGGAAAAUAAUAUUUUGGUUUUUUAUUUUCCUAAUCAGGUCAUUGGGCUGGUCAGUAUAAGAAAAAAUAAGUUAAAGUGGUAAAACAUAAGAAAUAAACAUUUUGUUUUAACCUAAAACAUAAACGUACACUCCUCCACCAGUCAUUUGAUAAAGAGCCAAGAUUAAUUCACUUUGGUUGUCGGUCCACUUUUUAUAGCUCUGCAUCAUCUGUCUUUAUGUACCACACUGUCAAGUAUUUUCAGUUUCAAUUUCUUUAAUUGGUGAGAAAACAUAAAGACUGUUGUGAAGCAAUCUAAGUCCAAAAUACUUCCAUAUUUUUAUAAUUUUUCUCCAACUCUCAUGGCUGUCUUGCCUCCACCUGACUUGAUAGCAAAUCUUAGCAAGUUGCAUUUUUAAAAGUUUUUCCACACCAUUGAAGUUAAUUUCCAUAAAAGUGACUCUCUUUGCAAAAUCACAUUUCAUCAGUUUGCAUAAUUGGAAUAACACAACCAGUAUAAACAAAUUUCGGUGGCGAAAAUACAACUAGCUCUUGAUCAGUAGACAAAGCUGGUGAGAAAGUAAAUGCAUUCUUGAAAGUGACCUCCUUGCCACAUUAAGCAAAAAAAAUUUUACUGAGCAAAUGGAAAGCAUUGUUUAACACAGCAUGUGGGCCUGGCAGAGAUCAGAGGAAGAUGGAAAUGCUCUUCUCCCAGCUGUCUGUGUGGCUGGCUGGACAAUAAUCUUCCAGUCUCAACCUCGGCCACCUCCCAAGGAAGUCUUCCAUGAUUUCCUUGACCAUUCCUCCUAUUCUUCAUCACAUCACCCUGUGUUUUCAUCAUAAAAAAUCAUUAUCUGUAA